rnacentral:misc_RNA from 1 species
GUGAGCAUAAACUCCAUCAUAGACUUUCAGAGUUAGUACCAAAUAAUAGACGCCUCUUGGACUUGGAUGAAAAACAUAUUCACCAAUCUCCUUGUCAGAAAGGAACUCCAUUGCCUCGUCCCCAGUGAUAUUUUUAAAGCGUGGAUGAUUAAUAGUCCUCUGCUUGGACUGUUUCUUUGCAAGGUCAUUCUUGCAGGCUUCACCUUGCUGUCUUGACAAUUUGUUCUUGCCUUCAUGAUAGUAAGGAUCAAUCUCACGAAAAUUUUGAUAUCUGCAACUCUUCAGCUCACUUUCUUUACAAGUUAGAAGCACUUGGAAUCUACUCUUUUCAAGUUGUUUAAUCUUGCAAGUAACGACAUCACCUUCAUGUAACUUGUCUGUCAAAGAAAAAUCAUCAGUCCCAUCCAAAAAAUCAUCCUUCAUUAUUACUCCAGUCAAUCCAAAGUCAAGAGCACAAAAUGCUCGUUGUGAUAGAACUCGGCGAACAGUAACCUGAAUAAUUCUUCCUUCAGCGAAUGCAUCCUCAUUUUUGCCUGAUAUCAAAAAGAAUAGC